rnacentral:tRNA from 1 species
GCCCCCUUAGCUCAGGGGAUAGAGCACCGGCCUCCGGAGCCGGGUGCGCAGGUUCGAAUCCUGCAGGGGGCGCCA